UACAGAGGUCUCAAGCGUUGUUCGGAUUCAUUGGGCGUAAAGGGUGUGUAGGUGGCGCGCUAAGUCGGGUGUGAAAUUUCGGAGCUUAACUCCGAAACUGCAUUUGAUACUGGCGUGCUUGAGGACUGGAGAGGAGACUGGAAUUCAUGGUGUAGCAGUGAAAUGCGUAGAGAUCAUGAGGAAGACCAGUGGCGAAGGCGGGUCUCUGGGACGGUACUGACGCUGAGACGCGAAAGCGUGGGGAGCGAACAGG
rnacentral:rRNA from 1 species